rnacentral:rRNA from 1 species
CCUACGGGAGGCAGCAGUGGGGAAUAUUGGGCAAUGGGCGCAAGCCUGACCCAGCCACGCCGCGUGAAGGAAGAAGGCUUUCGGGUUGUAAACUUCUUUUCUCAGGGACGAAGCAAGUGACGGUACUUGAGGUAUAAGCCACGGCUAACUACGUGCCAGCAGCCGCCGUAAUACGUAGGUGGCAAGCGUUCUCCGGAUUUACUGGGUGUAAAGGGCGUGUAGGCGGGACUGCAAGUCAGAUGUGAAAACCACGGGCUCAACCUGUGGCCUGCAUUUGAAACUGUAGUUCUUGAGUACUGGAGAGGCGGACGGAAUUCCUGGUGUAGCGGUGAAAUGCGUAGAGAUCAGGAGGAACACCAGUGGCGAAGGCGGUCUGCUGGACAGCAACUGACGCUGAGGCGCGAAAGCGUGGGGAGCAAACAGGAUUAGAUACCCCUGUAGUC